AAUCAGGAUGUUUCCUAAGCCAGCCCUCAUUUCAUUUGCGCCUUCUAGGCUUCUUCACUCUUUGUGCAUUUCUCAGCUGCAGAGCUUUGUUUUUUUUUGGGUGUUUUUCAUGUCUGCACACUCGCCAGAACGUUACGCGAUAGGUCAUUGUGGCUCAAAAACUGUAGUUGCACAUUUCGCAGUGAGAAAGGGACAAAGAAAAAAGUUAGAAACAUCUUCCAGCCAAUGACUUUUCAACCUUCAAGAAAUGUGUUCAUAACUUUUGGGUUCAUACAUCGACUUACAACUAGUGGAAGGACACCGCUGUCAUGGCUUAAGGGACGGAAGUCGACGUGAACUUUCUGCUGUCAUGUCCGAAGCUGCAAAACAACAACAAAAAACUUUGUCUAAGCAGACAAAACAAGAAAAAAGGAGGCUACCCGGAUUAAAGGACAAUGAAGGAUCGACAUCGACCUGGCUUUCACUCGCAGGACGAGGACGGCUUUUCGACGAAUGCUGCCUUGGCUCUGGUUCUGCGUGAGAGAUGCCAAACCAUUCUGACGGUGCGAUCCUGUAAUCCGGUGUCAGGGUCCUGCCUCCCAUGCUAAGACUCACAAAAUCAAUAUGAAUCACAGAUUAAGAUUGCAUGGAGGAUGAUUCAACACGGAGGCCGGGAUAACGGCUGCAGCUGUCAGGUGGAAAUGCCUUGAGAGAACUUUCACAUCAGUCCUCACUCACUUGCUGUCAAUACAUUUUAAUUUUUGGGGUUUUAAUGUAAUUUUUGCCUUAAAUGAUUGUAGACAAGGCUCGGAAGAAAGAGCAGACAUGUCUAUCCAUCUAAAUAAAUAAAUAAAUAAAUGGGUUGUACUUGUAUAGCGCUUUUCUACCUUCAAGGUACUCAAAGCGCUUUGACACUACUUCCACAUUUACCCAUUCACACACACAUUCACACACUGAUGGAGGGAGCUGCCAUGCAAGGCGCUAACCAGCCCCCAUCAGGAGCAAGGGUGAAGUGUCUUGCUCAGGACACAACGGA